GCGGCGGACGGGUGAGUAACGCGUGGGAAUUUUCCUCAAGGUACGGAACAACUCAGGGAAACUUGGGCUAAUACCGUAUGAUGUCUAGCGACCAAAGAUUUAUCGCCUUGNNNNNAGCCCGCGUCAGAUUAGGUAGUUGGUGGGGUAACGGCCUACCAAGCCUGCGAUCUGUAGCUGGUCUGAGAGGACGAUCAGUCACAUUGGGACUGAGACACGGCCCAAACUCCUACGGGAGGCAGCAGUGGGGAAUCUUGCGCAAUGGGCGAAAGCCUGACGCAGCCAUGCCGCGUGAGUGAUGAAGGUCUUAGGAUUGUAAAGCUCUUUCGCCCGUGACGAUGAUGACGGUAACGGGAGAAGAAGCCCCGGCUAACUUCGUGCCAGCAGCCGCGGUAAUACGAAGGGGGCUAGCGUUGUUCGGAAUUACUGGGCGUAAAGCGCGCGUAGGCGGUUUUGCAAGCCAGAGGUGAAAUGCCUGAGCUUAACUUAGGAAUUGCCUUUGGGACUGUGAGGCUUUGAGGACUGGAGAGGUGAGUGGAAUUCCCAGUGUAGAGGUGAAAUUCGUAGAUAUUGGGGAGAACACCGGUGGCGAAGGCGGCUCACUGGCCAGUUUCUGACGCUGUAGCGCGAAAGCGUGGGGA
rnacentral:rRNA from 1 species